GGGUUCCGACGGCGGGUCCUUCCUCCAUGGCCCGCUCGGCCGCUUCCGGUGCUGAGCGAUUGCGUUACGGUCUGAGAUGCCUGCUUCCGGCGCCUCCUAAAGACGUCACGCCCCUAACAAGUAGCCAAGCCUACUAUCCACAUGCCCAGAGAGCCCGAAGUGCUUCUGGCUUGCUUGUCGGAAUUAGAGAAGAAAAACAGCUUUGAGCAACAAAAUAGAGAAAGCUACAAGCUGCUUCAGUUCUCCAUCAUGUCAGUCCAUCUGGGUCAGCUGACUGGAGUCUAUCGCUGUGAACCUGAAACACAUCGUGGGGAGAACUUGCCACGGAGACAAAGAAUAUCAGCCUUUCAUAGCCCAGGAUUAAAAAAUAAUAAUAAAGAAAAAAUACUA
ensembl:antisense Gm43701 predicted gene 43701